UACAGAGGCCUCGAGCGUUAGGCGGAAUCACUGGGCUUAAAGCGUGUGUAGGCGGACUUCUAAGUACCUUGUGAAAUCCCACGGCUCACCCGUGGAACUGCUGGGUAUACUGGUCGUCUUGAGCCUUCUAGGGGCUACCGGAACAAAUGGUGGAGCGGUGAAAUGCGUAGAUAUCAGGAGGAACACCAAUAGCGAAGGCAGCUCGCUGGGACGUUACUGACACUGAGGCGCGAAAGCGUGGGGAGCGAACAGG
rnacentral:rRNA from 1 species